rnacentral:rRNA from 1 species
GAUACCCUAUUAUUUUAAAUGUGAUUUUUUACCUAAGUUAUUAAUAGUUAUGUUCUUUAAAGUUAAAUGAUUUGGCGGUAUUUUAGUCUGUUCAGAGGAACCUGUCUUUUAAUCGAUAUUCCACGAUUAUUAAUACUUUUUCUAUUAAAUUUAUAUAUCGUUGUUUGUAAAAAUUUUAGGAGAAUUAUAAUUUUUGUUAUUUUUUAUUUAAUUUUAUUUCAGAUCAAGGUGUAGUUUAUGUUGAAGUUUGGAUGGGUUACAUUAUUUUUAAAUGUGGUUUUUGUUUUUAUAAUUCAAGAUAAACUGGAUUUGAUAGUAAAUUUUAUGUUUAUUUGUUUUGAUUUAGCUCUAAAAUAUGUACACAUCGCC